rnacentral:lncRNA from 1 species
CGAACAUGGCAUGCAUGCAGAGGCACGUUCGGCCCCCGAACGUGGCCUGGCCAGCCACUAUAAAAGGGUCCCUUAGCCGAAAACGGGCGAGUUUUUCUCCCCAUUGUCGGACAAGGUGAGCUCUCCGCCGUUCCUCACUAAUUCUUGAGUUUUUCCUUCAGAUCUUUCAAGAUUUUCAUGAGUUUUUGUUUGUUUUGAAGAUUUUCAAGUUUUGAGCAAGUUUUGAAGCUUUGAGGUUCAAGGAAACUCAACCCCUCCCAUCUCCGAGUUUAGGUCGUCUCUCUCUCUAUCUCCACGAGGUAAGAGCCGAUCUUAAGCUCAUUGCAUGUUUUAAGUAAGUUUUAAGUAGAUCUAUGGGGUAGAAUGCAUGUUUAGCUCAUGGUUAGGUUUAUGGGUUUUAUAUGUGUUUAUGAACAAUGUGAGUUGCUUGAUGUGUUGUAGUUGGGGUU